UCGGAUAUGGUGUAACGGCUAACAUUGCCGCCUCUCAUCAUUUGAGUGUCUCGCGGCAGCUCGGGGUUCGAUUCCCCGUAUCCGAA